rnacentral:rRNA from 1 species
UAAGGUGGUUACUGCGUCGGGGCUCACCCCUUACCAUUCCGAACAGGGAAGUUAAGCCCGACUGCGCCGAUGAUACUGCAGCAAUGUGGAAAAGUAGGUCGCCGCCUUCU